rnacentral:rRNA from 1 species
AACGAACGCUGGCGGCAGGCUUAACACAUGCAAGUCGAGCGCAUCCUUCGGGGUGAGCGGCGGACGGGUGAGUAACGCGUGGGAACGUGCCCUCUUCUACGGAAUAGCCUCGGGAAACUGAGAGUAAUGCCGUAUACGCCCGCAAGGGGAAAGAUUUAUCGGGGGAGGAUCGGCCCGCGUUGGAUUAGGUAGUUGGUGGGGUAACGGCCUACCAAGCCGACGAUCCAUAGCUGGUUUGAGAGGAUGAUCAGCCACACUGGGACUGAGACACGGCCCAGACUCCUACGGGAAGCAGCAGUGGGGAAUCUUGGACAAUGGGGGCAACCCUGAUCCAGCCAUGCCGCGUGAUCGAUGAAGGCCUUAGGGUUGUAAAGAUCUUUCAGCUGGGAAGAUAAUGACGGUACCAGCAGAAGAAGCCCCGGCUAACUCCGUG